ACUCACUGUGUAACCAGCCGCCUUGGCACAGAGACUGGACAGAGUUGCCAUCUACGAGGAAUUCCUGCUGCUGACCAGAAUGGUACCCAGCUGCAGAACUUUACCCUGGACGGAAAGAAUGUCCUUGAGGAUGAAUAUUCUCCCAACAGAGAUGACACCUUGACUGAGAAGCCUGGUAAACCUGCAGGAAGCCCCAGCCCACGGUAGGGGACCACCCCGUCUGGGCCCU